AGCAAAGUGAAAAUGCUCACGAGUUUAAUCACUUCCAUACCGCACCGGGGGUUAGUAUGAAGGUGAGCAAAAUAGGGCCGAUGCCGUCGGGACCGACAAAAUCACCAAAUUUGCUCACUAGAAAGGGGCGAGAGCAAACAUGCACUGAAAAAAUUCUACCGUUUUGAACAGAAUUAAACAAACGAUGUCGCAGCGUGUAGAUGUUUGUUGAUAUUUAUUUUAAGAAAAAAAUUGUAUCAGCUUAAAAUUGUGGAUGGUUUUUCUUGUAAUAACUGCAGUUAAAUUCGCAAUUUCGUUACAUUUUUUCGGGGUUUUCCAGGAAUUGAACGAGAAAGUGUAAAUGCUGGUUCUGAUGAUAAACAAACUUGAAGCAUCGUAAUUUGUGACCAAAAAUGGUCACUCGGAGUUUCUCGGAGUAAUAAUAAUCGAGACCAGUGCGCUGUGCAGGAUUUUUGUAUCCAACCGGCCGAUAUGGGUGGCAUUCCAGUACUGUCCCUACCGAUUCGGCUUCCGGAACGAGGUCCAAUAAGUUUGCAACUAAUGGGACCCAGUUUUUCGGAGCAGCAAUUAUUUCAAUCAGCACGUUGGAUAGAAAAAGAAGUUGAAGAUUUUUUAGAAAAGUAUGAUUUUAAUAUAAAUAUAAUAAACAAAUAAAGUUGAAUUUUAGUUGAAUUGUUUGGUUUGUUAAAUUUUGUUUUUCGGGUCCAUUUGUUAGGAAAUAUAAGUGCCCGGCGUUUUGAAAGCAAAAUCGAGCUUAAUUCGAAAAUAUAUUCUUAUCUGAACUUAUUUUA